AGAGUUUGAUCAUGGCUCAGGAUGAACGCUAGCUACAGGCUUAACACAUGCAAGUCGAGGGGAAACGACAUCGAAAGCUUGCUUUUGAUGGGCGUCGACCGGCGCACGGGUGAGUAACGCGUAUCCAACCUGCCCACCACUUGGGGAUAACCUUGCGAAAGUAAGACUAAUACCCAAUGACGUCUCUAGAAGACAUCUGAAAGAGAUUAAAGAUUUAUCGGUGAUGGAUGGGGAUGCGUCUGAUUAGCUUGUUGGCGGGGUAACGGCCACCAAGGCGACGAUCGAGUAGGGGUUCUGAGAGGAACGGUCCCCCAGAUUGGAACGUGAGACACGGUCCAAACUCCGUACGGGAGGCA
rnacentral:rRNA from 1 species